rnacentral:rRNA from 1 species
UACGUAGGGGGCAAGCGUUGUCCGGAUUUAUUGGGCGUAAAGAGCGUGUAGGCGGCCUGACAGGUCUGCUGUGAAAACUCGAGGCUCAACCUCGAGAUGUCGGCGGAAACCAUCUGGCUAGAGUCCGGAAGAGGAGAGUGGAAUUCCUGGUGUAGCGGUGAAAUGCGCAGAUAUCAGGAAGAACACCCGUGGCGAAGGCGGCUCUCUGGGACGGUACUGACGCUGAGACGCGAAAGCGUGGGGAGCGAGCAGG